rnacentral:rRNA from 1 species
UACGGGGGGAGCAAGCGUUGUUCGGAUUUACUGGGCGUAAGGGCGCGUAGGCGGUCGUGACAAGUCACUUGUGAAAUCUCCGGGCUUAACUCGGAACGGUCAAGUGAUACUGUCGGACUAGAGUACAGAAGGGGGCAACUGGAAUUCUCGGUGUAGCGGUGAAAUGGCGUAGAUAUCGAGAGGAACACCUGCGGCGAAGGCGGGUUGCUGGGCUGACACUGACGCUGAGGCGCGAAAGCUAGGGGAGCGAACGGG